rnacentral:tRNA from 1 species
UCUGAAUUCGCCAAGUGGUAAGGCAAGGGACUCUGAAUCCCUCAUCAUAGGUUCGAAUCCUAUAUUCAGAACCA